rnacentral:rRNA from 1 species
GACGAACGCUGGCGGCGUGCCUAAUACAUGCCAGUCGAACGCUGAAGGAGUAGCUUGCUUCUCUGGAUGAGUUGCGAACGGGUGAGUAACGCGUAGGUAACCUGCCUUGUAGCGGGGUAUAACUUUUGGAAACGAUAGCUAAUACCGCAUAAUAGCAGUUGUUGCAUGACAACUGUUUGAAAGUUGCACUUGCACCACUACCAGAUGCACCUGCGUUGUUUUAGCUAGUUGGUGGGGUAACGGCCCACCAAGGCGGCGAUACAUCGCCGACCUGAGAGGGGGAUCGGCCACACUGGGACUGAGACACGGCCCAGACGCCUACGGGAAGGAGCAGGAGGGAAACUUCGGCAAUGGACGGAAGGCUGACCGAGCAACGCCGCGUGAGGGAAGAAGGGUUUCGGAUCGUAAAGGUCUGUUGUAAGGGAAGAAAGAGUGUGAGAGUGGAAAGUUCACACUGUGACGGUAUCUUACCAGAAAGGGACGGCUAACUACGUG